GUCUCAGCGCCGCAGACGAGCCGUACCGCCCUUUCUGCUCCAUGUGCUGGACGCGGCGGCUUCGCAGCAAGAUGUACGAAAGUGCGACGCUAACUACGUUAUUGGGAGUUCCCACAUAUAUUGUAAGAAAUAUUAAUAGUGGAGCGAACAAGGUAAGCGGAGUGUAUGAGUCAGUAGCAGCGACAGCCAUCUUUUUUACUUAAAUGGUUUUUCUUUGAAAAAACCAGUCGGACGAGUCAGUGUCUGUGCAGAGAAAGAAAGUCAUCAUCAGAUAUCACUGGCACUGAGAGAAAUGGGAAAAACAGGGCAAGUCUGGAUCUGCAGUGAAGACUUUAAUCCAACUCUAAUCUCAUACUCAUAGCCUUAACAGACUCCAAGUAUAUUAAUAGACUUGGGUGUGUUGAGUUCCGUUAUUUUUAUUACCUUGUUUUUGUAUGUAAGAAGUGCUGAAUAAUGUGUUAAUUAUCCGCUACUGGAUUGUGUGACAUAGCAACAGCGCCACCUAGCCGAACAAGGGCUAUAUUGCAUCAUCAACUUGUUCCGCUAGAUGGCGCUGUUGCUCAUUUCGAAAAUGGUUUCCUGCCAAACUGUAAAUUCUUUGUUCCAAAGGGACAUGUUACUGCAGUAAAAUGCAGCUGUACAAACAAGAAAUGUUGUUCCACUGAAACUUUGGAACAUGCAUGUUUUUUUUUUUAUGUGAGGGAAACUGCACUGCACUAUACUGCUUUUGAGAUUGAACAGCAACUCCUGAACAGAUGUUUCUGAAAAGGUCACAGAAUAUGAUGCGAGAGAGUGAUUUGAAAAAGGGAGAAACAUGGAUUUUGCCAUCCAUCAUGUGUGGAGAGUUAGAUUUGUGCUUGAAAGCAGAAGUACGACGACAGAUCGCCCAGCUGAAACCUCCCCGAGUGACUGAAUGGGGUGUCCAGUAAAAUGUUUGCAGGAAUGGACAGGGCUUCACCUUGUCUGAGGAGACACUUGGAUUUGUGUUAAACAAUUCUUCAAACGCAGAUCACUUUGUUAAAACAUCUCGACAUGACUGUCCAGGGACUUGGUCACUCGCUACGCUCCUCCGCCUGUCCCGGUUUGGUGGUCCCACUCGCAAGGGCUCCAAAAAUCAAAACCCUGAAGAUUCUCACUUCUGACACCAGUGUGAUGAAAUGAGCUCCCUGUGUCCCUCAGAACUGCUGAAUCCCCCUCAACCUACAAGAAUGGUCUUACACAAAACAUGUCUUUCAUACCCACCUCUCUCCUGUUCUCAUUUCCUUACGCCAUGAAAUUACACUGCAUUAUGUCAAAAAUAUCUCUAUCAAUUCUAUAUACAGCAAUUUGUAACGUGUGAUGUGUGCUGCUAAAAACGGUGGUAUUGACCAAGUGGCUGUAUUUAGAAGCUUCCUUAUGUAUCUAUCUACAGGUGAAAAGCACUUUUGUUCACUUUGAGUUAUAUGGUGCUUUGAAGGAAAGUGUGUGCUAAAUAAAUGUAAAAUGUAAAUUAGUUUUUAUCUUGUAUUGUUCAAUCUCUGAUUAUAUGGUACAUAUUCAUUGCAUAUUUUGAACAAACUAAAUUUCAGCCGUUUCUCGUAAAAGUAAAGUGAAAAGUGCAGCUCUUUUGUAACAGUUUCCAGAACUGUAGUACACCUGCAUGUUGCUUUGCUUUCACUCUUCCGUCCAGUUCGUCCUAUACAGGUACUGCCCAGGUGUGCUCAAACUUUUGACUGAUUCUGUGCCAUUAGACUUAUGUUAAUAUGACAAACCCUGUGAAAUUCCUGACAAUUUAUAUCUCCUUUACCAGCUUUCAAUUUUAUGACAGUCCAAAGACAUGCUGUUCAGGUUCCCCCAUAGAGUAUGAGUGUGACAGAGAGGGAAUGUGUUCCACUGAUGUAUGGAUGAAUGAGCCAGUGCAAGUAGUGUAUCUAG